rnacentral:rRNA from 1 species
AGUCACUGACAUUAGAUACCCGCGUAGUCCAGGGUGUAAACGCUGCAGACUUGGUGUUGGAAGCCCUUUGGGGGCAUUCAGUGCCGGAGAGAAGUUGUUAAGUCUGCUACUUGGGGAGUACGUCCGCAAGGAUGAAACUUAAAGGAAUUGGCGGGGGAGCACCGCAACGGGAGGAGCGUGCGGUUUAAUUGGAUUCAACACCGUAAAACUCACCAGGGAAGACUGUUACAUGAAGGCCGAGAUGAAGACUCUGCCAGAUUUUCAG